AUUCCCUUGUCAAGUCCCUGAGUGCCGCUGGCUCCCAACUCUUAAGGGCUUAGGGGUGGAGAAUGCUUAGGGGUGGAGGACUCUACCUGGUGAUUCAGAGCCUACAAGAUCCUCCCAGGAAGCCUUCCCUGGAAGCCUCAAACCUGGGAUAGGGGACAUUUCUCUGCCUUCUUAGCACCAUCGUACAUGCUUCAGCCCACCGCAAACUAUAAACCCCGAAGGUGGGCCCUGCUGUCAGGAGCAUCUUUAAAUCUCCAGCAUGAAGAAGUGGAUGCCGCAGCCUAUAACAAUGGAAUGUGGAUGCCAUCAUUGCUGUAAUUUUUGGAUCUGAGCCUGCCUUUUGUGCUAAA